rnacentral:tRNA from 1 species
UGUAGCUCAGUGGUGGAGCACUUGCUUACCAAGCCUGAGGACCUGGGUUUGACCCCCAGCA